rnacentral:rRNA from 1 species
AUUGAACGCUGGCGGCAGGCUUAACACAUGCAAGUCGAACGAGUGGAGGACGGGUGAGUCAUGCUUGGGAAUCUCGCUUAUGGAGGGGGAUAACUACGGGAAACUGUAGCUAAUACCGCGUACCAUAGGAUGAGCCCAAGUGGGAUUAGUUAGUUGGUGAGUGAAAGGCUCACCAAGCCGACGAUCUCUAGCUGGUCUGAGAGGAGGACCACACACACUGGGACGGAGACACGGCCCAAACUCCUCCGGGAGGAAGCAGUGGGGAAUAUUGCGCAAUGGGGGCAACCUGACGCAGCCAGGCCGCUUGAAUGAAGAAGGCCUUCGGGUGUUAAAGUUCUUUCGGUAGCGAGGCGUUAACUACAGAAGAAGCACCGGCUAACUCCGUGCCAGCAGCCGCGGUAAUUC